rnacentral:sRNA from 1 species
ACUCAACAAAGUUUAUAUUAAAAAAGGUGAGUUAUGAUUGUAAAAGCAGGCCAUCUCUGAAUGGAUCCUUGAUCAGUUGUGUAGCCUUAAUCAUGUUUUUUAGGAGUUU